GAGUUUGAUCGUGGCUCAGAGUGAACGCUGGCGGCAGGCCUAACACAUGCAAGUCGAACGGCAGCACAGGAGAGCUUGCUCUCUGGGUGGCGAGUGGCGGACGGGUGAGGAAUACAUCGGAAUCUACCUUGUCGUGGGGGAUAACGUAGGGAAACUUACGCUAAUACCGCAUACGACCUACGGGUGAAAGCGGCGGACCGCAAGGCGUCGCGCGAUUGGAUGAGCCGAUGUCCGAUUAGCUAGUUGGCGGGGUAAAGGCCCACCAAGGCGACGAUCGGUAGCUGGUCUGAGAGGAUGAUCAGCCACACUGGAACUGAGACACGGUCCAGACUCCUACGGGAGGCAGCAGUGGGGAAUAUUGGACAAUGGGCGCAAGCCUGAUCCAGCCAUGCCGCGUGUGUGAAGAAGGCCUU
rnacentral:rRNA from 1 species